GUGAUUGUGAGGGAAGGCACUUUCUUACUGUAUAGCAAAACAUGGCAGGGACUCAGUGCUGUGAGAAUCCACCAGCUUUGAGCUCAAGCAGUGGCUAUGGAUCUGUUUUUGAACUUGGAGGACUCAAAACCUACGUCUCUGGUUCUUCCGAUUCCAAAAAAGCCAUCCUCCUCAUCUCUGACAUUUUUGGUUAUGAAGCACCAAAUCUGAGGAAGCUUGCUGACAAAGUU
rnacentral:misc_RNA from 1 species